AACGAAACAUUAAGAAAUUAUUAACAAGUAUGACCAAAUGCAGGUAUUAGAAGGGGUCCACCUUUUUAUCAAUACAUUUAAUGAAUAAACACGCUUUUAAAAACUGAUUGUUUUCUCUGUAACUAUUUAGACAUUUACAAAUAUAUAAUCUACGUUCGAAUUUCAACUGAGAAUAGCAAAACAGUUAACUUAUAAAAUUAAUUAAGUAUAUCGCUGGAGUUUAUAAAGUACAUAUCUUUCCACUGUGCAAUGGUUUGCCAUCUCUAUUUUUCUCUAAACAAAGUAUGGUUGGUUACAUGUUCUGAAUUUACUUAGAAUUUCGGGAUUUUUUCUCAAAAUUAAGUAAACUGAAUUACCAAAAAAAAAAUCACACUAUUUUUAGACGAAUACCUAAAACUUGCGAAAGAUAUAAAAAGGCAGGAUGAGCAACUUGGCAAAAAGGCCGAAUAACGAUUUAUGUAAAAAAAAA
rnacentral:lncRNA from 1 species